GUUCGAAGUCAAUGGUCAACAAAUCCUCAAAUUGCAGCUGUUGGUUCAUGCUGUCUAGUUGGUGUAAUCUGUGAUGGGACUCUCUAUGUUGCAAAUCUAGGUGAUUCUCGUGCUGUUUUGGGUAGAGUAGUGAAGGCAACUGGCGAGGUUCUAGCCAUUCAGUUGUCAACAGAACACAAUGUUUCUAACGAGUCAGUGAGGCAAGAGCUGCAGUCUUUGCACCCUGAUGACUCACAAGUUGU
rnacentral:misc_RNA from 1 species